CCGUGGUGGGCCGAUUGAGACGUCAUCGGAGAGCGAGAGUCACUGCUCAUUCACCGCUUCUGAGUUUGACUGUGAGAGAGAACUGUCCCUCAUCAGCUCACAUCACAAAGAUGAACAUCAACCUGAAGAUUUGUCCAGUGGACAAUUUAUUCUGAUGGCUCCUUCACCCUUCAGAGAUGUGCUCUCCACCCAAAAUCUGCCCUGUUCCUCUUCAUCUGACGGGAUCCAGCGGCUGGAGAAUCUGCUUAAUCUAGGAGUGCAUUUUCACAGCUAUGCGGAUGUGUUUAAGGAUUUAGCCAACUUACCGACCCAUCAGCCAACCGACUGUGAAUUUCAGAGUGACCAGGAGGAAAUCAUUUAAAAACUCGAACCCCAUCGUCACGGUCAACUCUGCUCUGCGUCUUAAGUCCACCAAUGUACAUGUCGAGCCACUGACUGGACAAACUGGUAACAGCAGAAAAGCCAGCCAUACGGAGGUAAUUGGUCAGUGAGAAAGAACACUUUGAUCUUCCUCAUCCUCCAGACAGCAACAGAAAGCCCAGUAAAGGAGCCAAAAAAGGAAACAUUACGUGUGACUUCAGCAGUUCAACUGUAAUUACAUAAAGCUCCAAGAACACUUGUGUGACAUUGACUACAUUUAUAUGGACAUGAUUAUAUGGACAUGAUAUAAGGCAAAUGAUUUGCCUUAAUCUGAAUAAGACAGUAACAUGAUUAAGGUGUUUACAUGAGUUGCUUUUUGAUUGUUCCUUUCAUGAUCCUGAUUUACAUUUUAUUGCACAUAAUUCGAGUAACGUCAUUGCGUCAUCAUGCUAUCCACAUUUCCUCUGGAGUUUCAUGUAAUUUCAUGUGUUUCAGUUUUAAUUUGUCGACUUUUACUGCAACUUGGCACUUUCACUUUCAUUCAGGAACAUUUCAUGCAUGCCCACCAUGACAAACGAGAUAUUAGAUGUGAGUAUGAACUGCUGGAAGAGUGUUGUUUUAAUGGAAUUUGAUAAUGCAUAAUUUCAAAUUACAUAUAAAUAUACUACACACAUUUUCCAAUUUUAGUUAUUAACAAGAUUUAUUAAAAGCACUUUUACUACAGGAAGUGCAUAUACACAAAACAUUU